CCUACGGGUGGCAGCAGUGAGGAAUAUUGGUCAAUGGGCGCGAGCCUGAACCAGCCAAGUCGCGUGAAGGAUGACUGCCCUACGGGUUGUAAACUUCUUUUGUAAAGGAAUAAAGUGAGGCACGUGUGCCUUUUUGUAUUUACUUUAUGAAUAAGGAUCGGCUCACCUCGUGCCAGCAGCCGCGGUAAUACGGAGGAUCCGAGCGUUAUCCGGAUUUAUUGGGUUUAAAGGGAGCGUAGAUGGGUGGUUAAGUCAGUUGUGAAAGUUUGGGGCUUAACCGUAAAAUUGCAAUUGAUACUGGCAGCCUUGAGUACAGUUGAGGUAGGCGGAAUGCGUGGUGUAGCGGUGAAAUGCGUAGAUAUCACGAAGAACUCCGAUGGCGAAGGCAGCCUACUAAACUGCCACUGACAUUGAUGCGCGAAAGUGUGGGUAUCAAACAGGAUUAGAUACCCUUGUAGUC
rnacentral:rRNA from 1 species